AGUGAACGCUGGCGGCGUGCUUAACACAUGCAAGUCGAACGAGAACGGAUUAUAGCUUGCUAUAAUUGUCAGCUAAGUGGCGCACGGGUGAGUAAUGUAUAGGUAAUAUGCCUCUUACUAAGGGAUAACAAUUGGAAACGAUUGCUAAUACCUUAUAUUCCUUUUUAUCAAAAGAUAAAAAGGGAAAGAUUUAUUGGUAAGAGAUUAGCCUGUAUUGUAUCAGUUAGUUGGUGGGGUAAUGGCCUACCAAGACGAUGACGCAUAACUGGUUUGAGAGGAUGAUCAGUCACACGGGAACUGAGACACGGUCCAGACUCCUACGGGAGGCAGCAGUGGGGAAUAUUGCACAAUGGACGAAAGUCUGAUGCAGCAACGCCGCGUGGAGGAUGACACAUUUCGGUGCGUAAACUCCUUUUAUAUAAGAAGAUAAUGACGGUAUUAUAUGAAUAAGCACCGGCUAACUCCGUGCCAGCAGCCGCAGUAA
rnacentral:rRNA from 1 species